rnacentral:lncRNA from 1 species
GAAAACAAUCAGGCGCACCCGACAGGGCACCCCACAAUUUCAAAAAGGAAUCAUUUUUCUCUGUGAAGUCACUCACAGAGAGCUUUGUUUGAUCAAAAAUCAAAAACCCUUAAAAAUUUCAACACUGGCAUUGUGUGAAGGAGAGAUUUUUACUCAUUUCAAGGCCAAAAGGUUCAAACUUUGAUCAAGAAAAGAGGGUUUUUAGGGUUUAAUGUAAGUUUUUUUCCUCUCUCUAUUUUUAAUGCCUUCUGUUUCCUAUUUUGGGCUUGUUUUGUUAAAACUGGUUAAAGCUUGUAGCUUCUUGGGGCCUUGUCGUGUCUCUGAUCAGUAAAGGUGUUUACUUUUCUUUUUUUUACACAUUUUAGUGGAAAUAUAGUGGUUUUUAUGACAGUCCCGUUGUGUUAGGGAAAAACCCAGAUGGUUAAGAUUGUUUUGUAGUAGUUUUUGUGUUUCUGCUGUUGUUGGAAGGAAAAAAUUACUGUGAGAGAGAAAAAACGGGGGCCUUUUCUUGCAUGUAUAUGAUGACAUGGUUAUCUUGUUGAAUAUUUUUUUUGGGUUUUUGUUAAAAGUUUUGUUUUUUUUUUUUUUGUAAUAAAAGUUUGCGCUUCUUUUUUUUCACAUUUCUUUUUUGUCGUUGAUUACAGUUCUAAUGAACGAUAUGUGUUAAGGUGUUUUGAAGGAAGUCUGGAUGAUCGAAUAGUUUAUCAUUUGGAAUCCAGAGUGAACCCCAAAUGCUUAGCAUUUGUUGUAGAGGAAGAUAUGUAUUUGUGGAGGAAAUGUUGAUGCUGCUU